GCCUGCAGCCAUACCACUCUCUAUAGGCUGUGAGCUCAUCUGAUCUUAAACUAAGCUGUGUCAGAUCAGGUCAGUACUUGUCUGUGAUACGUCCCUGAAAAAUCCAGGUGUUGUAGGAA
rnacentral:rRNA from 1 species